UAACAUUACCGAAUCGACGAACUUCACCUCCCUCCUAGACGAGAAAAAACACUAAGCUCACCAUCGAAAUCGAAAUUGGGAGCAUAAUAGUAUGCGAUUUGACAUUUGGUUUCAUACCCAACUUCGACUUCCACAACAUUUGUCGGAUUUUCAUCAAAUUUUUCUGGGAAGCCAUUCGAUAAUGGAAAUUUGAUUGAUUUCAAACCUACUACUCACUUAACUAUCAAGUUGGUUCGACAAUGGUUCAAUUUUGUUGAUCACCGGUACUGAAAUUCUUUCUGCGAGGAUUCAAUACUAUGGUCUAGGGAAGAACUUAAAAUGAGUGACAAUUGAAGGAAAUGUUUUGGAUUAUAAGCCACGUCGAAGUCCAAGAUUUUUGGAUUAAAUAGCUUCACAGUACCAACUGGAUACCAGUUUAAUGCUUACUAUUCGAAAGACGUCGAAAUGCUUACUAUUCGAUGACUGAAUAUGAAAAUGAAGCUUAUCUAUAAAGAAGUUCAUGACCAGCGAAUUUAUUAUUAUUAGUGAAGUUGCAGUGCAUUAUGCUUAUGCUAUUGCUCAUAUAAGCAGGUGAUGUAUUACCUCCCGCACAGUUCAAGUGGUUAUAACAAUAAGGUACAACAUUUGUCGGAGCCUUAGGAUCAUAAAACAACUUGGGAAUCUAGCAUUAGCAGGUACACUGACGGAGAAUUGCAUUUUCAGUAAGCACUAUAUUUGUAAUUACCAAAUUUCCUUCGUUAUUUUAGAAAAUUUAAGCACUGUAUUUUUAAUUCAACUUGGAUGUCGUUGCCGAUUCAAGUGGCAGGCACAAUUGCAAAUGCAUCUUUACUGAAGUGUCUGUUUUACUAUACCAUCUCGACAUAGAGCACUGCUUUCUCCCAGUUGGAUGCUUAAUGUAAUCACUGGCUUAAACCAGGUAAAGAUUGUCAGCAUCACAUGUGCUUACCGCUUUUGCCCGGAGUGGCAGGCACAUUGUGCGUGCGUUUUCGCAUCAUUUUUGGAUGCCAGGUCGCCUUUUCAAGCGGCAGGCAGGCGCAUCACGCGUGUGAUAUUACUGGUGUUGAAUAAGAGAUAUUAUAAGGAUUCUGACGGCCCAGGUAUAUGUGCUUCCUUAUAUCCGAAGAUUGGGCAAGGUAAAAAUGCACAUCCUAAUGCGAUUAAGCAUUAGGAUGAGGAUAUACCUCAUCAAGUACCUUUUGAGGAGAUUCGUCCUCCUUUUCUUUAGGAAUAUUACCAUAUUCCUUUUCUUGGGUUUUGAACCCAUCCUAUUGAUUUGGAAAAUUGCGAGAUGCAAUAUCUUCAAUUAUAUCCUGAGCCCAGGAUGGAAUGUUCUCUGAACUAGAACCCGUGUGAUCAAGAUUUGCCAUACGACAAAUUGCUAAUGUCUCUUUUUCAAGACAUUUUAUAUGUCCUCUUAAGGUAUCCAUUCCUUGUUGGAAAUAAUUUCUAAAUACUUGUCUAGAUAUACCUUUCGACACAUAUUUGUAAGAAGAUCUUCAAUAAGGACCUUAUUCAUUAUUUGUGAAUGCUCCAGCGAAUGAGUAAGAGUUUCACACUUUGUAAUCUGCUAAUGAACUUUGUU